UUGGGGUUGAAGUCCGUCUCUAUGCCAGUCCCAACCCUAACUGGACAUCACCCCAACAUCCUUAGCCUGCCAGUUCUCUCUUCUGCUGGUCUCUCUUUCCACUCACAGAAAGGAAAAUGCAUCUUUAGUUGAGAUACAUGAAGAGUCCCUUGGUAAUCUCAAAGCCCCCACAUUCUUCUACUGCAUCUGGGUUUCAGUGACUCCUUUAAUCCUUUCCAUGGCCUCUUCUACCCUUCACCUUGCAAGUCAUAGACCUUCACUUGCAUGGUCUCUACUCCUGGCUGCCUUUCUUCUAUGGGGCAAUAAUACUGCAAGAUCCUGUAAUGUUUGCACCCGCCCACCCCCUGUCUCUCCACCAUCACCCCACACAGCCUGCCCAGCUCUCCCUGUCCCAGCCACAGUCACACACAUUCAGUUAUUGCCUUGUAUAACCCAUGUUCUUUUCCUCCUUUGGAAUCUUUUUUUUUUUACAGGCUAUUUCUUCACUAAACAUAUGCCCCUCCCUCUUACUUCUGGAACUCUACUUCAUCCCUCAUAUGAAAAUCUAUUUCAGGACUACUUUUAAUUAUGAAAAGUAAAACUUAAAUUUUACUAGAAGAAAUUAAGAGAACUAUUCUUAGACGUUUAUUUGAGGAAGGAUUCUUUUUUUUUUUUUUUUUUAAGUGGAGACCCAGAAGAACACAAACCACAAAGAAAACUAUAAUUUCGGUUGCAUGAAACUCUUCUAUAUCAAAACACAUCAUAAAAGUGAAAAGGAAUUAGAGAGUUUUCCAGCUUCCCCGGAUAAAAUUCAAGAUACUGCGUUGAUGAAAGAGAUGUACGGGGAGUCCCAUGAGGAAGACCUUGGUACAGAAAGCACUGUGGAGAUUGGGGCAAGCAAGGAGGACACUAGGCUUUGACCUUUAGAUGGGAUACAAGCUUCCACCUUCAUCUGCACUCAGGGUACCUUUAUCCCUUUACCUUUGAGUGAGUCACUUGGUUCCAUGUGCUUCCAGGAUAACGCUGUAGCAAUUUCCCUAGCCUUUGUCCUGUCUAAGCUCAUGGGACAGAAAGGAUGAAGAGCCUGGUGAAAGAAAACUAUCCAGAGAGAAGAAUGAUUCCAGAAAAUACAAAGAGGUUAUGAUGUUAUAGUUCACAUGCGAGUUGUGUUUGAUACAUCCCAGUGGAAACAUCCGGCAGAAUGGGAAGGUGGUGGGAAAUGUAGAGAUUGGCCAAUCCCGUUGCUCGCCCCCCGGAACAGAGUGUGAAGACACUCGGACGGACGUGCACACAGUCUACAGAUAUGACAAACAACCUUCUAGAUAGGGUAUAGUUUAGAACACUUGGUUUCUAAGUCUGUGGCCAUUUGUGGAAACAGUCUUGUCACAACAGGAGCUGCUUCCUGGGGACAAAGGGACGCCAUCCUCCUCUGCUCAUGUUCACAAGGACCCUGACCUGAAUCCUUCACUAGUACGGACAGAUCUCGGACAGGGCCUGGAGCUUCUGAUUCCGUUUGAGAACGAGGCCACAUUAGAUAUUCAGAGCUGGCUCAGAACCGAUCUUCUGCAGAGAAGCCCAAAGGAGCAGACUCUACUCUCAAGGUCUAGCCUGCUGAGUUGGGGAUUCGGUUUUGUAUUUCUGUGCCAGCAAGUAGCCUAGCCACAAUAUCACAGAGGCACCUCCUUUCUGCACACAAAACAUUAUGAUUCUCCUUUCUAUUCAGCUCACAGAACCUCUAAAUGGAGGCCUUACCUUGUCCCUCAUUAUGCGAAGGCUAGAAGUGGGUUUGCAGAGAUAAGCUAUGAUUCAUAUAAAGGGGAGCCAGGGGUUAUAUCUGGAAACUUGAGGACCAAAAAUGUUAUUUGAAAAUAAUUAUGACUCAGGGUUUAGAAGCACUUUGUGAUGAUAAUUUAAGGAUCCCACACUGGCAGUGACUAGUCACACACUCAGGUCCCAGGGGCCAGCGGUGGCUGUUCCCCUAUAAAAUAUGCAAUCACAAAACAUGUACAAAAAACUUUAAUAAUACAGACAGUGGUUCUUCAAGAGUAGCUAACAGCAGGCUCUCUCUCUGUGGUUCUUAACUCCGUCUAAAUGAUUCAACUGCUCUCCAGCUUCUCCUCUGCUUGUAGG